rnacentral:rRNA from 1 species
GAUGAACGCUGGCGGCGUGCCUAAUACAUGCAAGUCGAGCGAAUGGAUUAAGAGCUUGCUCUUAUGAAGUUAGCAGCGGACAGGUGAGUAACACGUGGGUAACCUGCCCAUAAGACUGGGAUAACUCCGGGAAACCGGGGCUAAUACCGGAUAACAUUUUGAACCGCAUGGUUCGAAAUUGAAAGGCGGCUUCGGCUGUCACUUAUGGAUGGACCCGGGUCGCAUUAGCUAGUUGGUGAGGUAACGGCUCACCAAGGCAACGAUGCGUAGCCGACCUGAGAGGGUGGUCGGCCACACUGGGACUGAGACACGGCCCAGACUCCUACGGGAGGCAGCAGUAGGGAAUCUUCCGCAAUGGACGAAAGUCUGACGGAGCAACGCCGCGUGAGUGAUGAAGGCUUUCGGGUCGUAAAACUCUGUUGUUAGGGAAGAACAAGUGCUAGUUGAAUAAGCUGGCACCUUGACGGUACCUAACCAGAAAGCCACGGCUAACUACGUGCCAGCAGCCGCCGUAA